UACGUAGGGGGCAAGCGUUGUCCGGAUUUAUUGGGCGUAAAGAGCGUGUAGGCGGCCAUGUAGGUCCGUUGUGAAAACUCGAGGCUCAACCUCGAGACGCCGAUGGAAACCAUGUGGCUAGAGUCCGGAAGAGGAGAGUGGAAUUCCCGGUGUAGCGGUGAAAUGCGCAGAUAUCAGGAGGAACACCGGUGGCGAAGGCGGGUCUCUGGGCAGUAACUGACGCUGAGGAGCGAAAGCGUGGGGAGCGAACAGG
rnacentral:rRNA from 1 species